GUAUUGUAUUGCGUUAAACGCGGCAUGCAUUCCAUGAGACUUUGUUACAGUGUGUGUGUAAAGACGUAGAGCCACAGCAGGAGGACAGGGUCCCCCAUGCCACAGAACUACAGAGGGUGCACAGGUGUGAGUGGAUGUGUAAACAGAACGUGCACAUGCCCCCGUUUGGGGACCAGCAACAGCUCGUGUUGACAAUUCAGUAAUGAUCCUUCCGCAGGUUCACCUACGGAAA
rnacentral:misc_RNA from 1 species